AUGCAAGUCGAACGAACUCUGGUAUUGAUUGGUGCUUGCAUCAUGAUUUACAUUUGAGUGAGUGGCGAACUGGUGAGUAACACGUGGGAAACCUGCCCAGAAGCGGGGGAUAACACCUGGAAACAGAUGCUAAUACCGCAUAACAACUUGGACCGCAUGGUCCGAGUUUGAAAGAUGGCUUCGGCUAUCACUUUUGGAUGGUCCCGCGGCGUAUUAGCUAGAUGGUGAGGUAACGGCUCACCAUGGCAAUGAUACGUAGCCGACCUGAGAGGGUAAUCGGCCACAUUGGGACUGAGACACGGCCCAAACUCCUACGGGAGGCAGCAGUAGGGAAUCUUCCACAAUGGACGAAAGUCUGAUGGAGCAACGCCGCGUGAGUGAAGAAGGGUUUCGGCUCGUAAAACUCUGUUGUUAAAGAAGAACAUAUCUGAGAGUAACUGUUCAGGUAUUGACGGUAUUUAACCAGAAAGCCACGGCUAACUACGUGCCAGCAGCCGCGGUAAUACGUAGGUGGCAAGCGUUGUCCGGAUUUAUUGGGCGUAAAGCGAGCGCAGGCGGUUUUUUAAGUCUGAUGUGAAAGCCUUCGGCUCAACCGAAGAAGUGCAUCGGAAACUGGGAAACUUGAGUGCAGAAGAGGACAGUGGAACUCCAUGUGUAGCGGUGAAAUGCGUAGAUAUAUGGAAGAACACCAGUGGCGAAGGCGGCUGUCUGGUCUGUAACUGACGCUGAGGCUCGAAAGUAUGGGUAGCAAACAGGAUUAGAUACCCUGGUAGUCCAUACCGUAAACGAUGAAUGCUAAGUGUUGGAGGGUUUCCGCCCUUCAGUGCUGCAGCUAACGCAUUAAGCAUUCCGCCUGGGGAGUACGGCCGCAAGGCUGAAACUCAAAGGAAUUGACGGGGGCCCGCACAAGCGGUGGAGCAUGUGGUUUAAUUCGAAGCUACGCGAAGAACCUUACCAGGUCUUGACAUACUAUGCAAAUCUAAGAGAUUAGACGUUCCCUUCGGGGACAUGGAUACAGGUGGUGCAUGGUUGUCGUCAGCUCGUGUCGUGAGAUGUUGGGUUAAGUCCCGCAACGAGCGCAACCCUUAUUAUCAGUUGCCAGCAUUAAGUUGGGCACUCUGGUGAGACUGCCGGUGACAAACCGGAGGAAGGUGGGGAUGACGUCAAAUCAUCAUGCCCCUUAUGACCUGGGCUACACACGUGCUACAAUGGAUGGUACAACGAGUUGCGAACUCGCGAGAGUAAGCUAAUCUCUUAAAGCCAUUCUCAGUUCGGAUUGUAGGCUGCAACUCGCCUACAUGAAGUCGGAAUCGCUAGUAAUCGCGGAUCAGCAUGCCGCGGUGAAUACGUUCCCGGGCCUUGUACACACCGCCCGUCACACCAUGAGAGUUUGUAACACCCAAAGUCGGUGGGGUAACCUUUUAGGAACCAGCCGCCUAAG
rnacentral:rRNA from 1 species